rnacentral:tRNA from 1 species
CGGAGCGGUAGUUCAGUUGGUUAGAAUACCUGCCUGUCACGCAGGGGGGCGCGGGUUCGAGUCCCGUCCGUUCCGCCAG